rnacentral:piRNA from 1 species
AAAGGAUGAAUAGAACAAUUAAGG